rnacentral:misc_RNA from 1 species
UUUUUUUUUUUUUUUUGGGUCCUGUUAUUGGGUUUGCUUUUGGUAGUUUAGUGUCCGAUCAUAUCAAUGAUUUGAUUUUUGAAGUUCUCUCUGAUGUUAAUGAACAGCAAAAGGAAGCUUUUCGAUAUGUUGAUGAUUUCGAGUUUUAAUUGCUUUUGAUGGGGUAUCAAUUGAGGGAUUUAAAGAAGCUCUGAGAUGCGUUGGUGAUUUAUGUCUAUGUCUGCAAUAAGCCAGACUUUGCCUUCUUUUUCCUCUUCUUCUCCUUCGUUUUCUUUCUUUUCUUCUCUUUUCUUUUU